rnacentral:rRNA from 1 species
GAUGAACGCUGGCGGCGUGCCUAAUACAUGCAAGUCGAGCGAACAGACGCGGAGCUUGCUCCUCUGACGUUAGCGUCGGACGGGGGAGUAAAACGUGGAUACCCUACCUCUUACACUGGGAUAACUUCGGGAAACCGGAGCUAAUACCGGGUAAUCUAUUUAACCGCAUGGUUCAAUAGUGAAAGACGGUUUUGCUGUCACUUAUGGAUGGAUCCGCGCCGCAUUAGCUAGUUGGUAAGGUAACGGCUUACCAAGGCAACGAUGCGUAGCCGACCUGAGAGGGGGAUCGGCACAAUUGGAACUGAGACACGGUCCAGACUCCAACGGGAGGAAGCGGUAGGGAACUUUCCGAAAUGGGCGAAGGCCUGACGGGGAAACGCGGCGUGAGGGAUGAAGGUCUUCGGAUCGUAAGACUCGGUUAUCAGGGAGGAACAAAUGUGUAAGUAACUAGGCACGUCUUGACGGUACCGAAUCAGAAAGCCACGGCUAACUACGUG